rnacentral:rRNA from 1 species
AGAGUUUGAUCAUGGCUCAGAACGUACGCUGGCGGCACGCCUAACACAUGCAAGUCGAACGAAGUAGCAAUACUUAGUGGCAGACGGGUGAGUAACAUGUAGGUAUCUACCCUUUGGCCUGGAAUAACACGAGGAAACUUGUGCUAAUACCGGAUAAGUCUUUACGGAGAAAGCUUUAUGCACCAUUGGAUGAGCCUGCACUUGAUUAGUUUGUUGGUGGGGUAAUGGCCUACCAAGACUGUGAUCAAUAGCUGAUUUGAGAGGAUGAUCAGCCACAUUGGGACUGAGACACGGCCCAAACUCCUACGGGAGGCAGCAGUGGGGAAUCUUGCACAAUGGAGGAAACUCUGAUGCAGCGAUGCCGCGUGAGUGAAGAAGGCCUUUGGGUUGUAAAGCUCUUUCGUCGGGGAAGAAAAUGACUGUACCCGAAUAAGAAGGUCCGGCUAACUUCGUGCCAGCAGCCGCGGUAAUACGAAGGGACCUAGCGUAGUUCGGAAUUACUGGGCUUAAAGAGUUCGUAGGUGGUUGAAAAAGUUGGUGGUGAAAUCCCAGAGCUUAACUCUGGAACUGCCAUCAAAACUUUUCAGCUAGAGUAUGAUAGAGGAAAGCAGAAUUUCUAGUGUAGAGGUGAAAUUCGUAGAUAUUAGAAAGAAUACCAAUUGCGAAGGCAGCUUUCUGGAUCAUUACUGACACUGAGGAACGAAAGCAUGGGUAGCGAAGAGGAUUAGAUACCCUCGUAGUCCAUGCCGUAAACGAUGUGUGUUAGACGUUGGAAAUUUAUUUUCAGUGUCGCAGCGAAAGCGAUAAACACACCGCCUGGGGAGUACGACCGCAAGGUUAAAACUCAAAUGAAUUGACGGGGACCCGCACAAGUAGUGGAGCAUGUGGUUUAAUUCGAAGAUACGCGCAGAACCUUACCAACACUUGACAUGUUCGUCGCGACUCUAAGAGAUUAGAGUUUUCGGUUCGGCCGGACGAAACACAGGUGCUGCAUGGCUGUCGUCAGCUCGUGUCGUGAGAUGUUGGGUUAAGUCCCGCAACGAGCGCAACCCUCACUUUUAGUUGCCAUCAUUAAGUUGGGCACUCUGAAAGAACUGCCAGUGAUAAGCUGGAGGAAGGUGGGGAUGACGUCAAGUCCUCAUGGCCCUUACGUGUUGGGCUACACACGUGCUACAAUGGUAUCUACAACAGGAAGCAAGACUGCGAAGUUAAGCAAAUCCUUAAAAGAUACCUCAGUUCGGAUUGCACUCUGCAACUCGAGUGCAUGAAGCUGGAAUUACUAGUAAUCGUGGAUCAGCGUGCCACGGUGAAUGCGUUCCCGGGUCUUGUACACACCGCCCGUCACACCAUGGGAGUUGGUUCUACCUUAAGGCAAGGUUUUAAACCCUUGACCACGGUAUAGUCAGCGACUGGGGUGAAGUCAUAACAAGGUAACCGUA